rnacentral:misc_RNA from 1 species
AAAGUCGUAACAAGGUUUCCGUAGGUGAACCUGCGGAAGGAUCAUUACAGUGCCCGCGGUUUCGCGCCCCAAAAGGCGCGUUCCGCACCAGGCCACCCUUGUCUACCUUACCACUGUUGCUUCGGCGGGCCCGUCCCCCGAGAGUUCGCUCUCAGGGGGCGACCCGGGGCUGGCUUCACCGCCGCCCGGGCGAGCGUCCGCCAGAAGUCACCUUGAACUCUGUUGAUCAGUGAACGUCUGAGUUUAUGUUAAAUCAUUAAAACUUUCAACAACGGAUCUCUUGGUUCCA